GUGACUGAUAUGAUUACUAGUGUUGGAGGGUUUCCGCCCUUCAGUGCUGCAGCUAACGCAUUAAGUAAUCCGCCUGGGGAGUACGACCGCAAGGUUGAAACUCAAAAGAAUUGACGGGGGCCCGCACAAGCGGUGGAGCAUGUGGUUUAAUUCGAAGCUACGCGAAGAACCUUACCAGGUCUUGACAUCUUCUGACAGUCUAAGAGAUUAGAGGUUCCCUUCGGGGACAGAAUGACAGGUGGUGCAUGGUUGUCGUCAGCUCGUGUCGUGAGAUGUUGGGUUAAGUCCCGCAACGAGCGCAACCCUUAUUACUAGUUGCCAGCAUUAAGUUGGGCACUCUAGUGAGACUGCCGGUGACAAACCGGAGGAAGGUGGGGACGACGUCAAAUCAUCAUGCCCCUUAUGACCUGGGCUACACACGUGCUACAAUGGAUGGUACAACGAGUCGCGAAACCGCGAGGUUAAGCUAAUCUCUUAAAACCAUUCUCAGUUCGGACUGUAGGCUGCAACUCGCCUACACGAAGUCGGAAUCGCUAGUAAUCGCGGAUCAGCAUGCCGCGGUGAAUACGUUCCCGGGCCUUGUACACACCGCCCGUCACACCAUGAGAGUUUGUAACACCCAAAGCCGGUGGGGUAACCUUUUAGGAGCUAGCCGUCUAAGGUGGGACAGAUGAUUAGGGUGAAGUCGUAACAAGGUAGCCGUAGGAGAACCUGCGGCUGGAUCCCCCUCCAUA
rnacentral:rRNA from 1 species